CCAAAUCCGGGUGGCAAUGGGAAGCCGUGAUGCGGAGUGAAAUAAAGUAGCGAAGUCCGUGAGCCAUGCGUCAAGAAAAGCCGCUAUCGUUUAUACCGUACCCGUACCGUAAACCGACACAGGUGGAUGAGGAGAGAAUCCUAAGGCCGGCGGAAGAAGCAUUGUCAAGGAACUCGGCAAAAUGGCCCCGUAACUUAGGGAUAAGGGGUGCCUGGGAAACCAGGCCGCAGAGAAUAGGCUCAAGCAACUGUUUAGCAAAAACACAGGUCUAUGCGAAACCGAAAGGUGAGGUAUAUGGGCUGACGCCUGCCCGGUGCUGGAAGGUUAAGAGGAGAGGUUAGCGGUAACGCGAAGCUUUGAAUUUAAGCCCCAGUAAACGGCGGCCGUAACAAUAACGGUCCUAAGGUAGCGAAAUUCCUUGUCGGGUAAGUUCCGACCCGCACGAAAGGCGUAAUGAUUUGAGCGCUGUCUCGACAAUGCAUCCGGUGAAAUUGAAGUACCAGUGAAGAUGCUGGUUACCUGCGCCAGGACGGAAAGACCCCAUGGAGCUUUACUCCAGUCUGGUACUGGGACUCGGUAUUGCAUGUACAGGAUAGGUGGGAGGCUAGGAGAUGGUAACGCCAGUUGCCAUGGAGCCGCUGUUGGGAUACCACCCUUGCAGUAUUGGGUUUCUAACCAGCCGCCGUGACCCGGCGGUGGGACAAUGCCAGACGGGGAGUUUGACUGGGGCGGUCGCCUCCGAAAGGGUAUCGGAGGCGCCCAAAGGUUCCCUCAGAAUGGACGGAAACCAUUCGAAGAGUGCAAAGGCAGAAGGGAGCUUGACUGCGACACCGACGGGUGGAGCAGGUACGAAAGUAGGGCUUAGUGAUCCGGUGGUAUUAAGUGGGAAUGCCAUCGCUCAACGGAUAAAAGCUACCCUGGAUAACAGGCUUAUCACUCCCAAGAGUUCACAUCGACGGAGUGGUUUGGCACCUCGAUGUCGGCUCAUCGCAUCCUGGGGCUGUAGUAGGUCCCAAGGGUUGGGCUGUUCGCCCAUUAAAGCGGUACGCGAGCUGGGUUCAGAACGUCGUGAGACAGUUCGGUCCCUAUCCGGCGUGGGCGUAGGAUAUCUGAGAGGAGCUGUCCUUAGUACGAGAGGACCGGGAUGGACGGGCCGCUGGUGCAUCGGUUAGACUGCCAAGUCUACGGCCGAGUAGCCAAGCCCGGAAGGGAUAAACGCUGAAGGCAUCUAAGCGUGAAGCCCCCCUUAAGAUGAGAUAUCCCAUUCGUUAAGAAGUAAACCCCCUUGAAGACGACGAGGUAGAUAGGGCAGAGGUGGAAGUGUAGCAAUGCAUGGAGCUGACUGUUACUAAUCGGGUGAGGGCUUGUC
rnacentral:rRNA from 1 species